rnacentral:rRNA from 1 species
UACGUAGGGCGCAAGCGUUGUCCGGAAUUAUUGGGCGUAAAGAGCUCGUAGGCGGUUUGUCGCGUCUGCUGUGAAAACGCGAGGCUCAACCUCGCGCCUGCAGUGGGUACGGGCAGACUAGAGUGCGGUAGGGGAGACUGGAAUUCCUGGUGUAGCGGUGGAAUGCGCAGAUAUCAGGAGGAACACCGGUGGCGAAGGCGGGUCUCUGGGCCGUUACUGACGCUGAGGAGCGAAAGCAUGGGGAGCGAACAGG